CGGCCCUGCCGCACGCGGCGGCGGGAGAGGAGGACGCCGCCGCGCCGCCGGUCUGCGACGACAGCGACACCGGGACGGCGCGGCCGGUGACCUGCUUGGCGGCGGCGGCGCGCUGGUACAGCGACCGGAGCGCGUAGUCCCACCGGCACAGCCCCGCCUGGUCCUUGAGCGCCUCCACCGCGCUCAUGCUCGCCGUCACCACGAACGACGACGCCUUCUUGCUCAACGACGACGAGCUCAUCUUCACGCUUUUAGCUUGAAAAACCGGAUGAUUUCCUCGCACGCAGACGCCUUCUUGAUGUGUAUGGCUUGCUUGCUUGUGGUUGUG
rnacentral:misc_RNA from 1 species